ACAGGCCUGCCGACGGCGCGUCGCCCCUAAACCCUAGACCCCCUGCGGAAAUCUCUAGAGCCUGGGCCAGCUCUGUGCGCCAGCUCUUGCUCCAUCUCUCCGCGGCGGCAGCGCAACAACCGCACCCAUGAAAGUCGCCAUCCUCACCCCCCGCGAGCCUGCCCCAUCCUGCUUAGUGUCGUCCCCCGCCACCGCGCAGCCGCAACCCAUCUGGAUAAGGAUGCAUCCGCUUCUCCCAUAGCCGCCACUACCCCUGCCUGCCCUCGGCUACGAACACGAAGAUCCCCUGGAUGGAGGUGGAGCUCUCAGAGGCUUAUGAUCUAGAACUCUAUCUCAUACUACGGAUUCCACAGGGUGAGGAGAGAUACGAGCAGGGUCCCACCGGCGAUGCGGGUCCCAUCUUCGGCAUUGGGAGCAAUCCGCCUACUCGGACACGAAGGUUCUCUGAGGCGGUGUAGCUAUAGAUCAUGCGGGCAACGGGGAAGGACGAUAGCUACGCAGCCCACAUCACGAAGGCAUAUAAGUGGGAGUUCGCCGAAAGGGAAGGUUUGCAGCUGGUUGUGCUGAAUCCAGGGACUACUCUGGGUCCAUUUUUCAUGUCAUCAGUCAAUACCAGCCUGAAUAAUCUGUUGCAACACCUAAGAGGUUGAAAAUUAACCAGGCCAACGGCUUGAGUCGGACCCUGUCAACACAGGGUGGUCGAUGUUAGAGACAUGGCACAAUCUCGAUCGUGACGUAUGAGAACCCAUCUACACAGGGUUGUGCUUGGCGUCCAUGGAAUGUUUGUUUGACUUCACCGAUAGAAUUGCUGAUAUGUACCAUGAUUUCCCAGUUCAUAGGUCAUACAUUUUCUAAGAACAUGCAUCAGGUUUGUGUAAGCAGGGCUAGCUGUUCAUUUUGGUAAUGACAUUUUUACUUUUUUCACAUCAGAAUCAACUAUCAAAGAGGACAAACAGGUUGGUUGAUGAGAGCAAAGGAGCCCUCCAAGAAGUUGAUCGAUCUGGGCGUUUGUUUCCUUCCGUUUGAUGUGACCAUCAGGGAGACCGUCGAUUGCUUCAGAAGCAAAGGGCUCAUCUAGCCAUGUGAACAUUUCCAGAUGUACCAGGGUUACUAUUGCUUACUAGAAUGAGGCGAGAGCUGCUUAGCUCCUUUGACAUUCCUUCUACUUAGUGGCAAUUGGUUUGGUUACUUAAACCUAUGCUCCAUAUGAUCCACGCUGAUUGAAUUUUGGUUUGUUAAUAUGUUUUGGGCAAGCAGUGCUAUGAGAUGGAGAUGAUGGUUAGGCAUGAUCUUUCUAUAGGUUAAAAGAACAGAUUAUCCAACAGCUGAUGGAACCUGCAUUAGAGAUAUUAUGUUGAUGUCACAGAUUUAGUUGAUGCUCAUGUGAAAGCGCUCAACAAGGCAGACACUAGAAAAGUCAGUAUUUACAACGUUGGAACAGGAAGAGGUUUGGUAACACGAGAAUUGUUUAUUUAUUUGUAUAACUAUUAUUUAUUCAUGUGGAUAGUUGUACCCUGCACAGGUUUUAAUCAAUACUUUACUUAAUUUACAUGGUAACAAGAUAGAGAGGCCCGCAAAUAGUUAAUCUGGGACAACAUAUCUCUGUACUGGCCAUAGAGGACAACAAAAAAAAUCAAAAGUUGAAGAAUCACCAACGGUGCCUCCUUUGCACCCUCCAGCUCAAGAACCUGGGCCCGAGCCAGUUCAACAAGUCAUGCCCACAGCUGAAGUGCUGAACCAACAGAUUUACUGGGAAUCAAUGAAUCAGCCCGAGGCACAUCUGAAAUAGAUCAAAACAAGGUAGUCGCCUUGGUCGUGGUUCCACAUGAUAAUCCGCCAAAAGCACUUGCUUCUACCAGUCCUGGAAGCGUGGCGACUAGCUGGAGCAAAUCAGAUUCUGUGCGAUGAAAAGCAAGUGAAAGAGGCUAUUGUUCAGGUACUAAUUUGCCAUAGUGUUGGUCUAUGACUGAAUGGUACAAAAUACAUGCAAUGAAUGGAUGAUACUUUCCAGUUAAAUCAUGUAAUUGGAAUACAGUGGUGCCGUCAGCGGUGCGGAUUGGGGGCUUCUAGAGAAAGGGUCUAGCGUCGUGCCCUGCUUGACGAACAGUGUGUUGAUAUGUGCCAUCAUCGCACUGGGAACGAACGUGAUGGCUAGCACGGGGAGCAUCUUGAGCAUCUGCUUUGUCUCCACCACUCACCAUGCUCUGAGCCUGUGUUGGUAUGCAGACUUUUCCCUUUGUUUCAGAAGAAGAUGCAGUUGCAUUGCACAUUGUUGGAACCCACGAUCACCACAAAAUUGAGGGAAUAUGUCAUUACUCAUUUGCAUAACUCAUUAGUCAUUACCUUGUCAAGGUUUAUGCUUUCCAUCACGAACGGUUGGAGUUGCAACAUAACGAUACUUUGGUAUACCAAAUAAAGUUACUCUGUUCACCAAAUGUAGGGUUAGUUUUUUUGUUGUGCUAAAGACUGAACAUAAUUUGGGUGUGUUAAUAUUUUAUUUAUUGUCUG